GAUGAACGCUGGCGGCGUGCUUAACACAUGCAAGUCGAACGAAGCACUUUAUUUGAUUUCCUUCGGGACUGAUUAUUUUGUGACUGAGUGGCGGACGGGUGAGUAACGCGUGGGUAACCUGCCUUGUACAGGGGGAUAACAGUUGGAAACGGCUGCUAAUACCGCAUAAGCGCACGGCAUCGCAUGAUGCAGUGUGAAAAACUCCGGUGGUAUAAGAUGGACCCGCGUUGGAUUAGCUAGUUGGUGAGGUAACGGCCCACCAAGGCGACGAUCCAUAGCCGACCUGAGAGGGUGACCGGCCACAUUGGGACUGAGACACGGCCCAAACUCCUACGGGAGGCAGCAGUGGGGAAUAUUGCACAAUGGGCGAAAGCCUGAUGCAGCGACGCCGCGUGAGCGAAGAAGUAUUUCGGUAUGUAAAGCUCUAUCAGCAGGGAAGAUAAUGACGGUACCUGACUAAGAAGCACCGGCUAA
rnacentral:rRNA from 1 species